AGUUAACGGGUUGGCAAGCUGCCACAAACUACUUUAAUGGCGGCAAAGGUUUGGCUGGGGAAGCAGAGUCUCUAGGGCAGCAAGGACCUCAGCUGCUGGGGAAAGGCUGUCAGCUACUCAUGUUAUUUCAUCGCUUCUGUAACCUCCCUUCCUGCCACCGGCCUGGGCUGCACUGACUGGGGGAUGGCCCUCACCACAGCACCUACUUCAGCAGCUUCAGCUGCUUCUGGUGACAAAAGUUUUGAGUGCAGCUCGGCCCUCAAAGGGUCUUUCCGAUGGCCGUUCCCGGCGAGACAUCCUCUUUGUAUAAAACCUGGGGCAUUCAGAAUCAGGACAAUGUUACACAGAAGAAAAGAAAGCCCAGUAAUUCCUGGAGGAAGACUAGGAAACAUGGCUUCUGUGAAAACAAAAGACACUAGAGAAUGUUCUUAGCCGUGUGCCAGAGAAUCUGACAUCUUCCACGUCAGCAUCAGAACUCCUGCCAUAUUUACAACAUGGACAACUUCCCAGAUCUUGAGAUUUCUUUUAAAAUUAUUGUACUGUAUCAAUACAGGAUGAGAAAAACUGGGAAAAUGCUGAUUUAAAAAGACCCCUCUCAUAGGAAACAAAAUCCAUUAAAGAAAUGUAAAGUCAUUUUGUUCAGGGGAAGGAUAAUAGGAGAAAUCACAAUGUCAAGAAGAAAUCCAUCUUCAUGGAGCAAGACAACACAUGUUAUUGCUGUGGGAUUAAAAAAAUUAAAAAGAAAAAAAGUUACUCAGUUAGCAGAUUUAAGGUGUUAUUUCAAAUGGUUUCUGGAGUGAUGUUUUUAGAGCAAAGUAUGGGAAAUUUUAUCAAAUAACCUCUAGUAUUAACUGGGGAGGUUAGAUGUUAAUUGUCUGAAUCAACAUGAGGCUAGCAUAUUUUUAAGGAGGAGAAUGCAAGUAUUAGGUUAGCAUUAAAUGGAAAAUAAAUAGUAAAUAUAC